rnacentral:rRNA from 1 species
UGGGAGGCAGCAGUGGGGAAUCUUGCACAAUGGGGGAAACCCUGAUGCAGCGACGCCGCGUGAGCGAUGAAGCCCUUCGGGGUGUAAAGCUCUUUCGACAGGAACGAUAAUGACGGUACCUGGAGAAGAAGCUGCGGCUAACUACGUGCCAGCAGCCGCGGUAAUACGUAGGCAGCGAGCGUUGUUCGGAGUUACUGGGCGUAAAGAGUGCGUAGGCGGUUGGCGAAGUUCGGUGUGAAAUCUCCCGGCUUAACUGGGAGGGUGCGCCGGAAACUGGCUGGCUGGAGUAUGGGAGAGGAAAGCGGAAUUCCUGGUGUAGCGGUGAAAUGCGUAGAUAUCAGGAGGAACACCUGCGGUGUAGACAGCUUUCUGGACCAUGACUGACGCUGAGGCACGAAAGCGUGGGUAGCAAACAGGAUUAGAUACCCCGGU